GACGAACGCUGGCGGCGUGCUUAACACAUGCCAGUCGAACGGAAAGGCCAGUGCUUGCACUGGUACUCGAGUGGCGAACGGGUGAGUAACACGUGGGUGAUCUGCCCUGCACUCUGGGAUAAGCUUGGGAAACUGGGUCUAAUACCGGAUAUGAACUGCCUUUAGUGUGGUGGUUGGAAAGUUUUUUCGGUGCAAGAUGAGCUCGCGGCCUAUCAGCUUGUUGGUGGGGUAAUGGCCUACCAAGGCGUCGGCGGGUAGCCGGCCUGAGAGGGUGUACGGCCACAUUGGGACUGAGAUACGGCCCAGACUCCUACGGGAGGCAGCAGUGGGGAAUAUUGCACAAUGGGCGGAAGCCUGAUGCAGCGACGCCGCGUGGGGGAUGACGGCCUUCGGGUUGUAAACUCCUUUCGACAGGGACGAAGCGUAAGUGACGGUACCUGUAGAAGAAGCACCGGCUAACUACGUG
rnacentral:rRNA from 1 species